ensembl:lncRNA
AUGGCUUCCUCACUGGUGCCCGACUUCUCAUCGGUUAUGGUGGUUCUGGAGCGUUUAAAGGAGCUGGACGAAUACCUGAAAGAGGAGGAGGUACCGUUUGCACCUGAGGCCAGCCUCCACCUCAUGGAGAUAACGGCUGCUGUCAGCGAGCUGGAGGCAGACAGGCGCGCUGCUCGUGAACACUUGGAAGUGGAAAGCAUAGAAAACAGCAAACUGAGACACCAGAUCAACAACAUGCGUGAAGGAAUGAGUAAGGAGAUCAUGGCUGAUGUAGCAGCGGCGCGAGCAUCGAAUGUCGAGGAGAUCCAGCAACUGUGCAAAGAUCUCAGUGCAGUCUCUCAGCUCCAAGAAGAAGCUACGAAGAUGCGGGAAUCCCUUCUCAGCCAAAACAAGUCCCUGUACCUGGAGCAGGAUCAGGCGAAGGCUAACCAUGAUAGUAUCAUGGCUACUCUGAAUGAUCUACUUGCCCUAAAGUACAGCUCACAGAUGCAGCUGAACAUGACAUGGGAGAAUAUAGAGGAGCUGAAGUCCUGCAUUGCCGGCGUCGAGCAGGACAGGUUAACCCUGGAGCAGAACAUGAAGCUGGAGAGACAAGCCUCCUCCGUGAAAAGAAAUGACCUCUUGGAAGAGGUGAGCCACGCUGAGAAGCAGACAGAGCAGCAAAACCGCCUGAACAGGAGUAGCAGAAGAGAACUGGAUAGCAUUACCAAGAAGAAAGACAAAGCCCAGGGACAGCUGGAUGAGCUCAUGGAUGAGUUAGGUAAGGUCGAGAACAACAUACACAGACUGAAGGUGUCACAGCACCAUCAUGAGGAGCAGCUGGAAGGGGAAGUCCAAAAGCAACGGGAGCUGAAGCAACAGAGGGAUCUGCUGAAGGAGGAGCUGCAUGAAUUGGAGGAAGCCUUCAGCCUCACUGUGCAGAACUUGCAAGAGGAAAUCGUCGCAAUGGACAGUAAAAUAAAGGAGGGCAGAGCAUCAAAACAGCAUUUAGAGGCAGCCCUGACUCAGGUCUGUGAGAUUUUCAAGCAUCGGCACACUAAAGAGAACUGGGUCAGGGCUGAGCAUCAGCAGGUCUCCCAGCAGCUGGAGUGGUCCAGGCUGCAGCUGGAGGAGCGUAUUGCCUCCAUCAUCAAGCAUGGCAGGGAGAUCAAAGAGAUGGAGAAGCAGGUCAAAGAGCUCAAGGAAACUGAUGUAAUAAACGAGCGUCUCUUUGAGAGGAAUCAGGAAGAGCUACGUGGCAACAUGGAUGCAGGAGAAAAGAAUGUGGGCUGUCUUCAGGAGGAGAAAGAGCGACUCCUGCAGCUCCUGGAGAAGGCAAAGAGGAAACAGGAGGAACAUAUUGAGAAAAUGACAUCUGACAUCAGUAGUACCCAGAAAAGAUAUGAGGAGCUGCUUCAAGAAAAAGCAGCGCUCCUGAAGCAGGAGCCCAAGACCACUGAUGCCAGCCUCCUGAUGAGGCAUGUGACCCGAUCCAAGGAGGAGUACGAAAGAAUCGAGACCAGGCAGCACCAGGAGUUACAGCAGCUCACCACUGACGUCGACAAGGUUGCUCAGAGUGUUAAGGAGAAGCAGAGGGAGGUGGAGGAGAAGGAAAAGAUUCUGAAGAAGGUGGAGGCCGAGUGGAGCGAUGAGCAGAGCAGGCACCACAGGCUGGAAGUGCUUCUCAAUGAGCUGAGGAAGAGGAGGAGUGAGCUGGAGCUUUCAAUUCAGGCACUGAAGGAGAAAACCAGUGAACUCCUUCAGCCCAAAGAGGAAAUGAAGGCUGAGCUAGAGGAGCUGCAAACAUGCCACAUCAACACGCUCCACAGACAGGCGUCUGAGCUGAGAGCUGUGGAGGUGAGCAUCUACGACUGCGGCGCGAAACUGGAGCAAGUCACCAUGGAGAACAGCCGGCUGCAGUUCCAUAUCAGUCGGAUGACGGAGGACAUUGAAACAGCCAAACAGGAGAUGCACAAAUACUGGCAGGAGGCUCAGGAGUUCAGCCAAGACGCAGAGGCAUUAUGGGAAAGCUUACAGCAAGCCUGGGCGGAGGAUUUAAUGUUAACCCAGGACCAUGAGAGCAGUGAAGGCGUCCUGUUCAUGUCGAUUAGUUCCCUGCUGGACCAUCUGAAGAAUCGGAAACAGCAGUUAGGAAACAUUAGCACGCUCCUUCACCAACAAAUGCUCGACUUCAGCAAACGACUGGGAGACAAGACCACAGCGAAACUAUGCAGCUGA